rnacentral:rRNA from 1 species
UCAGGACGAACGCUGGCGGCGUGCCUAAUACAUGCAAGUCGAGCGGACAGAUGGGAGCUUGCUCCCUGAUGUUAGCGGCGGACGGGUGAGUAACACGUGGGUAACCUGCCUGUAAGACUGGGAUAACUCCGGGAAACCGGGGCUAAUACCGGAUGGUUGUUUGAACCGCAUGGUUCAAACAUAAAAGGUGGCUUCGGCUACCACUUACAGAUGGACCCGCGGCGCAUUAGCUAGUUGGUGAGGUAACGGCUCACCAAGGCAACGAUGCGUAGCCGACCUGAGAGGGUGAUCGGCCACACUGGGACUGAGACACGGCCCAGACUCCUACGGGAGGCAGCAGUAGGGAAUCUUCCGCAAUGGACGAAAGUCUGACGGAGCAACGCCGCGUGAGUGAUGAAGGUUUUCGGAUCGUAAAGCUCUGUUGUUAGGGAAGAACAAGUACCGUUCGAAUAGGGCGGUACCUUGACGGUACCUAACCAGAAAGCCACGGCUAACUACGUGCCAGCAGCCGCGGUAAUACGUAGGUGGCAAGCGUUGUCCGGAAUUAUUGGGCGUAAAGGGCUCGCAGGCGGUUUCUUAAGUCUGAUGUGAAAGCCCCCGGCUCAACCGGGGAGGGUCAUUGGAAACUGGGGAACUUGAGUGCAGAAGAGGAGAGUGGAAUUCCACGUGUAGCGGUGAAAUGCGUAGAGAUGUGGAGGAACACCAGUGGCGAAGGCGACUCUCUGGUCUGUAACUGACGCUGAGGAGCGAAAGCGUGGGGAGCGAACAGGAUUAGAUACCCUGGUAGUCCACGCCGUAAACGAUGAGUGCUAAGUGUUAGGGGGUUUCCGCCCCUUAGUGCUGCAGCUAACG